rnacentral:rRNA from 1 species
AGAACGAACGCUGGCGGCAGGCUUAACACAUGCAAGUCGAACGGUUGUAGCAAUACAGCAGUGGCAGACGGGUGAGUAACACGUGGGAACCUUCCUAGGGGUACGGAACAACUCAGGGAAACUUGAGCUAAUACCGUAUACGUCCGUGAGGAGAAAGUUUUAACGCCCCUAGACGGGCCCGCGUAGGAUUAGGUAGUUGGUGAGGUAACGGCUCACCAAGCCUACGAUCCUUAGCUGAUCUGAGAGGAUGAUCAGCCACACUGGGACUGAGACACGGCCCAGACUCCUACGGGAGGCAGCAGUGGGGAAUAUUGCACAAUGGGCGGAAGCCUGAUGCAGCGACGCCGCGUGAGGGAUGACGGCCUUCGGGUUGUAAACCUCUUUCGCCAGGGACGAAGCGCAGUGACGGUACCUGGAGAGAGCGCCGGCAACGUACGUGCCAGCAGCCGC